rnacentral:lncRNA from 10 species
AGUUCGUCCCGGAGGGCAUCGUUUUUCCUGCCUUGAGGAAGCAACAACAAAUAACCCAGGAAAAACACUGCAUAAACAUGGCAUCCAAAGAGAGGAAGCAGAGACAUGAUGCACCAACUACUACUUUAGUAAUUGAAGAGAGAGAGAAGAGCCUGAAGUCAUUCAAUAAUUAGAUCAAAUAAUUUACUAAUGGAUCAUUUGUCUUCCCUUCCAAUGUUCCUUAGCAAGUUGGCUAAUUGCUCCAUGGUCACAAGAUAGCUG